GACGAACGCUGGCGGCGCGCUUAACACAUGCAAGUCGAACGGAAAGGCCUGCUUUCCCUUGUGGAUUGCGGGUACUCGAGUGGCGAACGGGUGAGUAACACGUGAGUGAUCUGCCCCCAACUUGGGUAUAAGCCUGGGAAACUGGGUCUAAUUCCCGAUAGGACUGCAGGGUGGUGCCUGUGGUGGAAAACGAUUUUCUAGUGGUUGGGGAUGAGCUCGCGGCCUAUCAGCUUGUUGGUGGGGUAAUGGCCUACCACGGCGGCGACGGGUAGCCGGCCUGAGAAGGGGGACGGCCAGAUUGGGCCUGAGAUACGGCCCAGACACCUACGGGAGGCAGCAGUGGGGAAUAUUGAACAAUGGGAGGAAGCCUGAUGCAGCGACGCCGCGUGGGGGAUGACGGCCUUCGGGUUGUAAACUCCUUUCGACCGCGAGGAAGCCACCUGGUUGGAAGGGUGGUGACGGUAGUGGUAGAAGAAGCACCGGCUAACUACGUG
rnacentral:rRNA from 1 species